rnacentral:misc_RNA from 1 species
GUGAGUCAUCGAAUCUUUGAACGCACCUUGCGCUCCUUGGUAUUCCGAGGAGCAUGCCUGUUUGAGUGUCAGUUAAUUCUCAAUCACAACAGCUUUGUAGUUUGGUUGUGACUUGGAUGUGGGGGAUUGCUUGCUGGCCUUCCAUGUGAAGUCAGCUCCCCUAAAAUGCAUUAGCGGAACCGUUUGCGGUCAGUCACCGGUGUGAUAAUUAUCUACGCCCACGACGCAGGCUGCUCUCUGUGUUGUUCAGCUUCUAACUGUCCUAACGGACAAAUUUUUGAAUGUUUGACCUCAAAUCAGGUAGGACUACCCGCUGAACUUAAGCAUAUCAAUAAGCGGAGGA